rnacentral:lncRNA from 12 species
UAAACAUUUCAUAUCUCCUUCUGGAUCACACACUUGAUCACAAAAAUAAACCUCCCUUCCCCAUUUCCACAUUUCUUUUUUUUUUUUUAAAGAUUUAUUAUUUAUUUAUUCAUGAUAGAGAGAGAGAGACAGAGACAGAGACACAGGAGGAGGGAGAAGCAGGCUCCACGCCUGGAGCCCGACGCGGGACUCGAUCCCAGGACCCCGGGAUUGCGCCCUGGGCCAAAGGCAGGUGCCAAACCGCUGAGCCACCUGGGGAUCCCCAACAUUUCUACAUUUCUAUGUCCCUCUGGAGCUUUAUGUGUGAGUGAAGUAAACAUCAUUUGCAGCUAUUAUCGAGGAGAGAGAUUGAACUUGUUGGCCAAAGCAAUAUUUGUAGUCAAGUUUCUGACCUCUAGAAUGAGGAAACAGGUAAGCAAUUUCCUUUAUGGAAUGCUCCCUUGCACAAGGCUUAUUACUUUGUGUGUGUGUGUGUGUGUGUGUGGUUUUUUUUCUUUUUUUUUUUAAAGAUUUAUUUAUUUAUUUAUUCGAGGAAGAGAGCAUGGGUUUACCUGUGAGUCGGUGGGGGGUGGGAGGGCCCUAGGAGAAGGACAAGCAGACUCCCUGCUGAGCACGGAGCCCUACAUGGGGCUCCACAUGAGGCUUGAUCCAGGGCUAGAUCCCAGGACCCUAAGAUCAUAACCUUGAGCCAACAUCAACAGUCGGACACUUAACUGACUAAGCCACCUAGGCACCUCUCUUGGGUGUGUUAAAUUUGCAAGGCAUCACCAUCAUAUGUGAUUCACACAUUAAAACUGCUGAUAGAAACAAACCUGGCCAAGAAAAAAACAUUUUUUUGGUAGCACUAUUAUAGAAUGAGAAUAAUAAUAAUAUAUUCUAGUUCUUUUUUCCAGUUGAUAUAUUGCUCUCAUUCUAUCCACUCCGUUAAGUUUUAUCUCUCUCUCCUUUUCAAUCCUAGUCAACUUUUCUUUAUCUGUUCCUACCUAUUCUAUUAUCUUAUUUCUACUUUUAUUCUUCUAAGUAUUCCUCUUCUUUAUUUAGAUUUAGUUUUCCUCUCUUCUUUAAAACUCUAUCUCAGGAACCACCACGGGAGUCUGUGUUGCUAUUAUUGACCUGCUGACAUUGUUUUUGAUCAAAAGCCUGAAUUGUAGUUCAAUUACAUUGUUGAAGAUUUACCUACUAAUUGAUCUGGGAUGUGAAGUCAUUCUUCCGGUGAAAGACCUAAAAAGGGUUGGUGAAAAG